rnacentral:rRNA from 1 species
UACGUAGGGUGCGAGCGUUGCCCGGAUUUAUCGGGCGUAAAGGGCGCGCAGGCGGCCACGCACGUCCGUUGUGAAAUCGCCCGGCUCAACUGGGCGGGGUCGGCGGAUACGGCGUGGCUGGAGCAAGCUAGGGGGUAGUGGAAUUCCCGGUGUAGUGGUGGAAUGCGUAGAGAUCGGGAGGAACACCGGUGGCGAAGGCGGCCGUCUGGACGGUGACUGACGCUGAGGCGCGAAAGCGUGGGGAGCAAACGGG